rnacentral:rRNA from 1 species
ACGCCUAAACAUGCAAGUCGAACGAAGUAGCAAUACUUAGUGGCAGACGGGUGAGUAACAUGUAGGUAUCUGCCCUUUGGCCUGGAAUAACACGAGGAAACUUGUGCUAAUACCGGAUAAGUCUUUACGGAGAAAGCUUUAUGCACCAUUGGAUGAGCCUGCACUUGAUUAGUUUGUUGGUAGGGUAAUGGCCUACCAAGACUGUGAUCAAUAGCUGAUUUGAGAGGAUGAUCAGCCACAUUGGGACUGAGACACGGCCCAAACUCCUACGGGAGGCAGCAGUGGGGAAUCUUGCACAAUGGAGGAAACUCUGAUGCAGCGAUGCCGCGUGAGUGAAGAAGGCCCUUGGGUUGUAAAGCUCUUUCGUCGGGGAAGAAAAUGACUGUACCCGAAUAAGAAGGUCCGGCUAAC